CCUUAGCGGCGGACGGGUGAGUAACACGUGGGUAACCUGCCCUUGAGAGGGGGAUAACAGGUCGAAAGGCCUGCUAAUACCGCAUAACGCUAAGAUGCCGCAUGGCGUCUUAGCCAAAGGUUAAUUCCGCUCAAGGAUGGGCCCGCGGCCCAUUAGCUAGUUGGUGAGGUAAUGGCUCACCAAGGCGACGAUGGGUAGCCGGCCUGAGAGGGUGGUCGGCCACACUGGGACUGAGACACGGCCCAGACUCCUACGGGAGGCAGCAGUGGGGAAUAUUGCGCAAUGGGGGAAACCCUGACGCAGCGACGCCGCGUGAGCGAUGAAGGCCUUCGGGUUGUAAAGCUCUGUCUUCCCUGACGAUAAUGACGGUAAGGGAGGAGGAAGCCACGGCUAACUACGUGCCAGCAGCCGCGGUAAUACGUAGGUGGCAAGCGUUGUCCGGAAUUACUGGGCGUAAAGGGUGCGUAGGCGGCUCUUUAAGUGGGGUGUGAAAUCCCUGGGCUCAACCCAGGAACUGCACUCCAAACUGGAGAGCUAGAGUGCAGGAGAGGAAAGCGGAAUUCCCAGUGUAGCGGUGAAAUGCGUAGAGAUUGGGAGGAACACCAGUGGCGAAGGCGGCUUUCUGGACUGUAACUGACGCUGAGGCACGAAAGCGUGGGGAGCAAACAGGAUUAGAUACCCGGGUAGUCCA
rnacentral:rRNA from 1 species